GCCUAUAAUUGUGAGAGCAAAAACUGUCCCAGUUUCAGAAAGUUGUUCCCGGAAUACGUGGAGAAGUUGAACCAACAGAGAGUUCCGGAGCAGACUGUUUCUCCUGCUGCUUCUGCGGCUGAGCAAGCCCCGGCCCCGAGAAUCGUAGAAGAUAACAAAGCUGUUGACAAUGCAGGCCCCAAGAGGCGGCGGGCGAGGAAGCAGGCACCGAUCUGGCAGCUGCUGGUGUU
rnacentral:misc_RNA from 1 species